GGUCUGUGAUGGGGGUUGGCAUGUAUUAUCUGAGCAUAAAUCUGAAGAUGAUCAGUUUUGCUCUAGAAUUACUCUGAGACCUG
rnacentral:snoRNA from 1 species